GACGAACGCUGGCGGCGUGCUUAACACAUGCAAGUCGAACGGAAAGGCCCUGCUUUUGUUGGGUGCUCGAGUGGCGAACGGGUGAGUAACACGUGAGUAACCUGCCCUUUACUUUGGGAUAACUUCAGGAAACUGGGGCUAAUACCUGAUAGGAGCUCCUGCCGCAUGGUGGGGGUUGGAACGUUGCGGCGGUUGGGGAUGGACGCGCGGCUUAUCAGCUUGUUGGUGGGGUAGUGGCUUACCAAGGCUUUGACGGGUAGCCGGCCUGCGAGGGUGGACGGGCACAUGGGGACUGAGAGACGGCGCAGAGUGGUACGGGAGGCAGCAGUGGGGAAUAUGGCACAAUGGGGGGAAGCGUGAUGAAGAAACGCGGGGGGCGGGAUGACGGCCUGCGGGGGGUAAACAGGUUUGGGCUGAGACGAAGCGUGAGUGACGGUAAUGGGUAAAGAAGCACCGGCUAACUACGUG
rnacentral:rRNA from 1 species